GACGAACGCUCGCGGCGUGCUUAACACAUGCAAGUCGAACGUGAUUUUUGUGGAAAUUCUUUCGGGAAUGGAAAUGAAAUGAAAGUGGCGAACGGGUGAGUAACACGUGAGCAACCUACCUUACACAGGGGGAUAGCCGUUGGAAACGUCGAUUAAUACCGCAUGAGACCACAGAAUCGCAUUAAAUAGGGGUCAAAGAUUUAUCGGGGUAAGAAGGGCUCGUGUUUGAUGAGCUAGUUGGAAGGGUAAAGGCCUACCAAGGCGACGAUCAGUAGCCGUUAUGAGAGGAUGAACGGCCACAUAGGAACUGAGACACGGUCCAAACUCCUACGGGAGGCAGCAGUGGGGAAUAUUGCACAAUGGGGGGAACCCUGAUGCAGAGACGCCGCCUGAGCGAAGAAGGUUUACGAAUCGUAAAGUUCUUCCUAUCAGAAGAUAAGACGGUUCA
rnacentral:rRNA from 1 species